UGGCAAUGAUGUAGGAAUUUCUUCAUCUGAAAUUACUGUGGAGAGUAAAAUCCGAGCUUUUUAACACUGAGCCAC
ensembl:snoRNA SNORD36 Small nucleolar RNA SNORD36